GAUGAAGAACGUAGUGAAAUGCGAUAAGUAGUGUGAAUUGCAGAAUUCAGUGAAUCAUCGAAUCUUUGAACGCACAUUGCGCCCUUUGGUAUUCCUUAGGGCAUGCCUGUUCGAGCGUCAUUUAAACCUUCAAGCUCAGCUUGGUGUUGGGUGACUGUCCGCUUCACCGCGGACUCGCCUCAAAAUUAUUGGCGGCCGGUACAUUGGCUUCGAGCGCAGCAGAAACGCGAACUCGGGCCCGUCGUAUUGGCUCCCAGAAGCUAUCUUCACAAUUUUGACCUCGGAUCAGGUAGGGAUACCCGCUGAACUUAAGCAUAUCAAAAGCGGAGGA
rnacentral:misc_RNA from 1 species